UGAGUAAUCGAUUAUAGGUGUUUUGAUUCAACAACGAAAUCAAAACAAUCGAUUCCUCAGUCGACUUCAUAAUCGAUUUGGCACUUAGCUGAAACCUUUCUGUAACUUGAACAUUUUCUUCAAUCGAUUCGUCAAUCGAUUGUGCUGAUCAUAGUGACUCAGACUUUUCCAUCAAUCGAUUUGCCAAUCGAUUGUGCUUGUUACAGAACCUCAGCUAUUUUGACAAAAUCUAUUUGCCAAUCGAUUUGAUCAAAGUUGUUCUGAUGAAUGAUUAAUCUGCAAUCGAUUGC
rnacentral:lncRNA from 1 species